GUCUGUGGGCCUAACACCUUGGGCAUGCCCGAUCUCAUCUGAUCUUGAGAGCUAAGAAGGGUCCGGCCUGGUCAUUACUUGGGUGAGAACUGGCAAUGAGUGAUUUGCAAGACU
rnacentral:rRNA from 1 species